GACGAACGCUGGCGGCGUGCUUAACACAUGCAAGUCGAACGGUAAGGCCCUUCGGGGUACACGAGUGGCGAACGGGUGAGUAACACGUGGGUGAUCUGCCCUGCACUUCGGGAUAAGCCUGGGAAACUGGGUCUAAUACCGGAUAGGACCACUGCCUGCAUGGGCGGUGGUGGAAAGCUUUUGCGGUGUGGGAUGGGCCCGCGGCCUAUCAGCUUGUUGGUGGGGUGAUGGCCUACCAAGGCGACGACGGGUAGCCGGCCUGAGAGGGUGACCGGCCACACUGGGACUGAGAUACGGCCCAGACUCCUACGGGAGGCAGCAGUGGGGAAUAUUGCACAAUGGGCGCAAGCCUGAUGCAGCGACGCCGCGUGAGGGAUGACGGCCUUCGGGUUGUAAACCUCUUUCAGCACCGACGAAGCGCAAGUGACGGUAGGUGCAGAAAUAGCACCGGCUAACUACGUGCCAGCCGCCGCCGUAACAC
rnacentral:rRNA from 1 species